CGGAGCUGCAACUCGACUCCGUGAAGCUGGAUUCGCUAGUAAUCGCGCAUCAGCCAUGGCGCGGUGAAUACGUUCCCGGGCCUUGUACACACCGCCCGUCAAGCCAUGGGAGCCGGGGGUACCUGAAGUCCGUAACCGCGAGGAUCGGCCUAGGGUAAAACUGGUGACUGGGGCUAAGUCGUAACAAGGUAAC
rnacentral:rRNA from 1 species